AGCAGCCGCGGUAAUUCCAGCUCCAAUAGCGUAUAUUAAAGUUGUUGCAGUUAAAAAGCUCGUAGUUGAAUUUCGGGAUCAAUGUUUCGGUCAUGCCCUUGGUAUGUACUGAUAUUAUUGGUUUCUCACCUUCUAAAGAACCGUAAUGCCACUAAUUUGGUGUCACGGGGAAUUAGGACUGUUACCUUGAAAAAAUUAGAGUGUUUAAAGCAGGCUCACGCUUGAAUACAUUAGCAUGGAAUAAUGAAAUAGGACAUCCGAUUCUAUUUUGUUGGUUUCUAGGAUCGAUGUAAUGAUUAAUAGGGAUAGUUAGGGGCAUUAGUAUUCAAUUGUCAGAGGUGAAAUUCUUGGAUUUAUUGAAGACUAACUACUGCGAAAGCAUUUGCCAAGGAUGUUUUCAUUAAUCAAGAACGAAAGUUAGGGGAUCGAAGACGAUCAGAUACCGUCGUAGUCUUAACCAUAAACCAUGCCGACUAGGGAUCGGAUGAUGUUAAUUUUUUAAUGACUCA
rnacentral:rRNA from 1 species